CCUACGGGAGGCAGCAGUGGGGAAUAUUGGACAAUGGGGGAAACCCUGAUCCAGCAAUGCCGCGUGGGUGAUGAAGGCCUUCGGGUUGUAAAGCCCUUUUGGCGGGGACGAUGAUGACGGUACCCGCAGAAUAAGCCCCGGCUAACUUCGUGCCAGCAGCCGCGGUAAUACGAAGGGGGCUAGCGUUGUUCGGAAUUACUGGGCGUAAAGGGCGCGUAGGCGGCUCGACGAGUCGGGUGUGAAAGGCCUGGGCUUAACCCGGGAACUGCGCUCGAUACUGUCGGGCUAGAGUGUGGGAGAGGAUGGCGGAAUUCCCAGUGUAGAGGUGAAAUUCGUAGAUAUUGGGAAGAACACCAGUGGCGAAGGCGGCCAUCUGGACCACAACUGACGCUUAGGCGCGAAAGCGUGGGGAGCAAACAGGAUUAGAUACCCUAGUAGUC
rnacentral:rRNA from 1 species